rnacentral:rRNA from 1 species
UACGUAGGGGGCGAGCGUUGUCCGGAUUUAUUGGGCGUAAAGAGCGUGUAGGCGGCCAGGUAGGUCUGCUGUGAAAACUCGAGGCUCAACCUCGAGACGUCGGCGGAAACCAUCUGGCUAGAGUCCGGAAGAGGAGAGUGGAAUUCCUGGUGUAGCGGUGAAAUGCGCAGAUAUCAGGAGGAACACCGGUGGCGAAGGCGGAUCUCUGGGCCAUUACUGACGCUGAGGAGCGAAAGCGUGGGGAGCGAACAGG